GGUGGCUAUAGCGGCGGGGAACUACCUCUACCCAUACCGAACAGAGAAGUCAAGCCCGCUUGCGCCGAUGGUACUGCCCCACCAGGUGGGAGAGUAGGCAGCUGCC
rnacentral:rRNA from 1 species